AUCCUUUUCAGUUCGUAAGUAUGAUUGGGAGUUCAUGCUGUUGUAUGACAUGUGCCUCCCUCUAACCCUUGUUGUGACAUCAGCACAUUACCAGUCUGUGU
rnacentral:snoRNA from 1 species